UACGUAGGGUGCGAGCGUUGUCCGGAAUUACUGGGCGUAAAGAGCUUGUAGGCGGUUUGUCGCGUCGUCUGUGAAAACUCACAGCUCAACUGUGAGCUUGCAGGCGAUACGGGCAGACUUGAGUACUUCAGGGGAGACUGGAAUUCCCGGUGUAGUGGUGGAAUGCGUAGAUAUCGGGAGGAACACCAGUGGCGAAGGCGGUUGCCUGGG
rnacentral:rRNA from 1 species